GUAUUUGUUAUACCAUUACCUCAGGUUGUAUUUGUUAUACCAUUACCUCAGGUUGUAUUUGUUAUACCAUUAUCCCAGGUUGUAUUUGUUAUACCAUUACCCCAGGUUGUAUUUGUUAUACCGUUACCCCAGGUUGUAUUUGUUAUACCAUUACCCCAGGUUGUAUUUGUUAUACCAUUACCCCAGGU